rnacentral:misc_RNA from 1 species
UAUGAAGAACGUAGCGAAAUGCGAUAAGUAAUGUGAAUUGCAGAAUUCAGUGAAUCAUCGAAUCUUUGAACGCACAUUGCGCCCGGCAGUACUCUGCCGGGCAUGCCUGUUCGAGCGUCAUUUCAACCCUCAAGCCCUGCUUGGUGUUGGGGCCCCACGGCUGCCGUGGGCCCUGAAAGGAAGUGGCGGGCUCGCUACAACUCCGAGCGUAGUAAUUCAUUAUCUCGCUUAGGGCGUUGGGCGGCGCUCCAGCCGUUAAAGAACCAUCUUUAACUCAAGGUUGACCUCGGAUCAGGUAGGAAUACCCGCUGAACUUAAGCAUAUCAAUAAGCGGAGGA